UACGUAGGGUGCAAGCGUUGUCCGGAAUUAUUGGGCGUAAAGAGCUCGUAGGCGGUCUGUCGCGUCUGCUGUGAAAACUCGGGGCUUAACCCCGGGCCUGCAGUGGGUACGGGCAGACUAGAGUGCGGUAGGGGAGACUGGAAUUCCUGGUGUAGCGGUGAAAUGCGCAGAUAUCAGGAGGAACACCGGUGGCGAAGGCGGUUCUCUGGGCCUGUACUGACGCUGAGGAGCGAAAGCGUGGGGAGCGAACAGG
rnacentral:rRNA from 1 species